rnacentral:rRNA from 1 species
UCUCUGUUUUCGAACCCGACGAUACUUCUGAGUGUUCUUAGCGAACUGUCAAAACUUUUAACAACGGAUCUCUUGGCUCCAGCAUCGAUGAAGAACGCAGCGAAACGCGAUAUGUAAUGUGAAUUGCAGAAUUCAGUGAAUCAUCGAAUCUUUGAACGCACAUGGCGCCUUCCAGUAUCCUGGGAGGCAUGCCUGUCCGAGCGUCGUUUCAACCCUCGAGCCCUCGUGGCCCGGCGUUGGGGAUCUGCCACGGCAGGCCCCGAAAUACAGUGGCGGACCCGUUAGGCCCUUCCUUUGCGUAGUAGCAUUAGCCUCGCAUUGGGAGCCGACGGGCUCUCCUGCCUCUAAACCCCCCAACAAGCCCGCUCCGGCGGCACCAAGGUUGACCUCGGAUCAGGUAGGAAUACCCGCUGAACUUAAGCAUAUCAAUAAGCGGAGGAAAAGAAACCAACAGGGAUUGCCUCAGUAACGGCGAGUGAAGCGGCAACAGCUCAAAUUUGAAAUCUGGCUCCUUCGGGGCCCGAGUUGUAAUUUGCAGAGGAUGCGUCGGGUACGGGUGCCUUCCGAGUUCCCUGGAACGGGACGCCAUA